AGUGAACGCUGGCGGUAGGCCUAACACAUGCACGUCGAACGGCAGCACAGUAAGAGCUUGCUCUUACGGGUGGCGAGUGGCGGACGGGUGAGGAAUACAUCGGACUCUACUUUUUCGUGGGGGAUAACGUAGGGAAAUUUAAGCUAAUACCGCAUACGACCUACGGGUGUAAGCAGGGGAUCUUCUGCCCUUGCGCGAUUGAAUGUGCCGAUGUCGGAUUCGUUAGUUGGCAGGGUAAAGGCCCACCAAGGCGACGAUCCGUAGCUGGUCAGAGAGGAUGGUCAGCCACACUGGAACUGAGACACAGGGCAGACUCCAACGGUAGGCAGCAGUGGGAAAUAGUGGACAAUGUGGGCAAGCCGGAUCCAACCAGAUCGCGUAGAUGAAGAAGGACUUCGGGUCGGAAAGCAGUUUUGUUGGGAAAGAAAAGCAGCGCGAUAAUAGGCAGCUAUUCUGACGGUACCCAAAGAAUAAGCACCGGCUAACUUCGUG
rnacentral:rRNA from 1 species